rnacentral:rRNA from 1 species
UGCGUAGACGGCAUGUUAAGUCCGUUGUUAGAUUCCCCAGCUUAACUGGGGGCCAGCGGUGGAUACUGACGUGCUAGAGGAUGGAAGAGAGAAGUGGAAUUCCCGGAGUAGCGGUAAAAUGCGUAGAUCUCGGGAGGAACACCAAUGGCGAAGGCAGCUUCUUGGUCCAUAUCUGACGUUGAGGCACGAAAGCGUGGGAGCAAACA